GGGGGGAGCAAGCGUUGUUCGGAAUCACUGGGCGUAAAGGGCGUGUAGGCGGUUCGGUAAGUGGGAUGUGAAAUCCCUCGGCUCACCCGAGGACCUGCAUCCCAUACUGCUGAGCUUGAGUACAGGAGAGGGUGGGGGAAUUCCUGGUGUAGCGGUGAAAUGCGUAGAUAUCAGGAGGAACACCGGUGGCGAAGGCGCCCACCUGGCCUGCUACUGACGCUGAGGCGCGAAAGCUAGGGGAGCAAACGGGAUUAGAUACCCCGGUAGUCCUAGCCGUAAACGGUGAUCACUAGGUGUUGGGAGCAUCGACCCUUCCAGUGCCGCAGCUAACGCAUUAAGUGAUCCGCCUGGGGAGUACGGCCGCAAGGUUGAA
rnacentral:rRNA from 1 species